CUUGCUUCUCUUGAGAGCGGCGGACGGGUGAGUAAUGCCUAGGAAUCUGCCUGGUAGUGGGGGAUAACGUUCGGAAACGGACGCUAAUACCGCAUACGUCCUACGGGAGAAAGCAGGGGACCUUCGGGCCUUGCGCUAUCAGAUGAGCCUAGGUCGGAUUAGCUAGUUGGUGGGGUAAUGGCUCACCAAGGCGACGAUCCGUAACUGGUCUGAGAGGAUGAUCAGUCACACUGGAACUGAGACACGGUCCAGACUCCUACGGGAGGCAGCAGUGGGGAAUAUUGGACAAUGGGCGAAAGCCUGAUCCAGCCAUGCCGCGUGUGUGAAGAAGGUCUUCGGAUUGUAAAGCACUUUAAGUUGGGAGGAAGGGUUGUAGAUUAAUACUCUGCAAUUUUGACGUUACCGACAGAAUAAGCACCGGCUAACUCUGUGCCAGCAGCCGCGGUAAUACAGAGGGUGCAAGCGUUAAUCGGAAUUACUGGGCGUAAAGCGCGCGUAGGUGGUUUGUUAAGUUGGAUGUGAAAUCCCCGGGCUCAACCUGGGAACUGCAUUCAAAACUGACUGACUAGAGUAUGGUAGAGGGUGGUGGAAUUUCCUGUGUAGCGGUGAAAUGCGUAGAUAUAGGAAGGAACACCAGUGGCGAAUGCGACCACCUGGACUAAUACUGACACUGAGGUGCGAAAGCGUGGGGAGCAAACAGGAUUAGAUACCCUGUUAGUUCCACGCCGUAUACUGAUGUCAACUUAACCGUUGGAAGCCUUUGAGCUUUUAGUGGGCGCAGCUAAACGCAUUUAAGUUUGACCGCCCUGGGGAGUACGGCCCGCAAAGGUUUAAAACUUCAAAUGAAUU
rnacentral:rRNA from 1 species